rnacentral:rRNA from 1 species
CCCGCCGGCGACCGGCGCACGGGUGAGUAACACGUAUCCAACCUGCCGAUAACUCGGGGAUAGCCUUUCGAAAGAAAGAUUAAUAUCCGAUAGGAUAUCAAGAUCGCAUGAUCUUGAUAUUAAAGAAUUUCGGUUAUCGAUGGGGAUGCGUUCCAUUAGUUAGUUGGCGGGGUAACGGCCCACCAAGACGACGAUGGAUAGGGGUUCUGAGAGGAAGGUCCCCCACAUUGGAACUGAGACACGGUCCAAACUCCUACGGAAGGCAGCAG